rnacentral:rRNA from 1 species
GACGAACGCUGGCGGCGUGCCUAAUACAUGCAAGUAGAACGCUGAAGAGAGGAGCUUACUCUUCUUGGAUGAGUUGCGAACGGGUGAGUAACGCGUAGGUAACCUGCCUUGUAGCGGGGGAUAACUAUUGGAAACGAUAGCUAAUACCGCAUAACAAUGGAUGACACAUGUCAUUUAUUUGAAAGGGGCAAUUGCUCCACUACAAGAUGGACCUGCGUUGUAUUAGCUAGUAGGUGAGGUAAUGGCUCACCUAGGCGACGAUACAUAGCCGACCUGAGAGGGUGAUCGGCCACACUGGGACUGAGACACGGCCCAGACUCCUACGGGAGGCAGCAGUAGGGAAUCUUCGGCAAUGGGGGCAACCCUGACCGAGCAACGCCGCGUGAGUGAAGAAGGGUUUCGGAUCGGAAAGCUCUGUUGUAAGUCAAGAACGGGUGUGAGAGUGGAAAGUUCACACUGUGACGGUAGCUUACCAGAAAGGGACGGCUAACUACGUG